rnacentral:miRNA from 1 species
GGAUAUCAUCAUAUAUUGUAAG